rnacentral:rRNA from 1 species
AGAGUUUGAUCCUGGCUCAGGACGAACGCUGGCGGCGUGCUUAACACAUGCAAGUAGAGCGACGAACCAGGGCUUGCCCUGGGGCAGAGCCGCGAACGGGUGAGUAACACGUGGGUUACCUGCCUCGAUGACCGGGACAACCCGAGGAAACUCGGGCUAAUACCGGAUGUGCCCGCAAGGGGAAAGGAAGCUUCGGCCUCCGCAUCGAGAUGGGCCCGCGGCCCAUUAGCUUGUUGGUGAGGUAACGGCUCACCAAGGCUUCGAUGGGUAGCUGGUCUGAGAGGACGAUCAGCCACACUGGGACUGAGACACGGCCCAGACUCCUACGGGAGGCAGCAGUGGGGAAUCUUGCGCAAUGCGCGAAAGCGUGACGCAGCAACGCCGCGUGGGGGAAGAAGGCUUUCGGGUUGUAAACCCCUUUCAGUUGGGACGAAGCUUCGGCGGUGAACAGCCGACCGGAGUGACGGUACCUUCACAAGAAGCACCGGCUAACUACGUGCCAGCAGCCGCGGUAAUACGUAGGGUGCAAGCGUUGUCCGGAAUUAUUGGGCGUAAAGAGCGUGUAGGCGGCCCCAUUAGUCCGCUGUGAAAGUCCAGGGCUCAACCCUGGAAUGCCGGUGGAUACUGUGGGGCUAGAGUCCGGAAGGGGCGAGUGGAAUUCCUGGUGUAGCGGUGAAAUGCGCAGAUAUCAGGAGGAACACCAAUGGCGAAGGCGGCUCGCUGGGACGUGACUGACGCUGAGACGCGAAAGCGUGGGGAGCAAACAGGAUUAGAUACCCCCGUAGUCC